UUUGACCAGUGUUUGCAGGUGUU
rnacentral:misc_RNA from 1 species